rfam:Hordeum vulgare subsp. vulgare, WGS project CAJW01000000 data, contig: morex_contig_1568011
CAUGUACUCCCUCCGUCCCUAAAUUCUUGUCUUAGAUUUGUGUAAAUGCUAAUGUAUCUAGUCAUGUUUUAGUGUUAGAUACAUCCGUAUCUUGAAAAUCUAAGACAAGAUUUUUUGGACGGAGGGAGUAUUAC